AAGAGGAAGAGGGAGGUCGCAUUUGCAAUGAUGGAAUGCCUUUUUCUUUUUCUUUUUCUUUUUCAUCUUUUUCUUUU
rnacentral:ribozyme from 12 species